CAGCCGCCGCGGUAAUACGGAGGGUGCGAGCGUUAAUCGGAAUUACUGGGCGUAAAGCGCGCGUAGGUGGUUUGUUAAGUCAGCUGUGAAAGCCCCGGGCUCAACCUGGGAAUUGCAGUUGAUACUGGCAGGCUAGAGUACGAGAGAGGGAGGUAGAAUUCCAUGUGUAGCGGUGAAAUGCGUAGAUAUAUGGAGGAAUACCAGUGGCGAAGGCGGCCUCCUGGCUCGAUACUGACACUGAGGUGCGAAAGCGUGGGUAGCAAACAGGAUUAGAUACCCUGGUAGUCCACGCCGUAAACGAUGUCUACUAGCCGUUGGGAGACUUGAUUUCUUAGUGGCGCAGCUAACGCAGUAAGUAGACCGCCUGGGGAGUACGGCCGCAAGGUUAAAACUCAAAUGAAUUGACGGGGGCCCGCACAAGCGGUGGAGCAUGUGGUUUAAUUCGAUGCAACGCGAAGAACCUUACCAGGCCUUGACAUCCUGAGAACUUUCUAGAGAUAGAUGGGUGCCUUCGGGAACUCAGUGACAGGUGCUGCAUGGCUGUCGUCAGCUCGUGUCGUGAGAUGUUGGGUUAAGUCCCGUAACGAGCGCAACCCUUGUCCUUAGUUGCCAGCACUUCGGGUGGGAACUCUAAGGAGACUGCCGGUGACAAACCGGAGGAAGGUGGGGACGACGUCAAGUCAUCAUGGCCCUUACGGCCUGGGCUACACACGUGCUACAAUGGAACGCACAGAGGGCAGCUAACCCGCGAGGGGGAGCGAAUCCCACAAAACGUUUCGUAGUCCGGAUUGGAGUCUGCAACUCGACUCCAUGAAGUCGGAAUCGCUAGUAAUCGUGGAUCAGAAUGCCACGGUGAAUACGUUCCCGGGCCUUGUACACACCGCCCGUCACAUCAUGGGAGUGGGUUGCUCCAGAAGUGGUUAGUCUAACCUUCGGGGGGACGAUCACCACGGAGUGAUUCAUGACUGGGAUGAAGUCGUAACAAGGUAACCGUA
rnacentral:rRNA from 1 species